CUGUGAAAGACAGAGGCAGAAAGAGGAAGUCACCUUGUGAUAAUCUGGUCAUUGGGAAAGGUACAGAGAGAAGUCGAGCUAUACUUCUUACAUUAAAUACAUUUUUAUGGAUGUUUGAUGAGGGGCCAGAAAGUGUUACCCAAUGAACCUCCAUGGUACCAAAUACAAUCAAGCUUGUCCCAGGUUUCUACUGUACAAUUUCUCAUUGAAAACUGCCUCAGCAUUUUUUAAGAAGACAUCACUUCCCCCUUGGGGAAGAAAGAACUCAACGACUUGAAGAAACAGUGAUGCUUCAGGGAAUGCCCCAAACCCAGUGAUGCAGGACCCAGGACUCCAUCUGCUCAUUCUUCAUAAGGUUGGCUCACAGGUCAUCUGCUGAGAAGGUCAUCUUCUCCGUCUUCACUGGGCUCACUGAAUGAGGACAUUCCAAGAUCCCAGCUCAUCUCAUUUGAGCUUUCCUUUUCCUAAUCCCAUGCAUCUGUGUUUGAGAAAAUCUUCCCAAGUGAUAGAUCUUCUAUUUUCCGAUUUCUUCCAUGUUGUAUUACUUUUUUAUUAAUAAU
rnacentral:lncRNA from 1 species